rnacentral:tRNA from 1 species
GCGCCAGUAGCUCAGUCUGGAUAGAGCGGGAGCCUUCUAAGCUCCAGGUCGGGGGUUCGAUUCCCUCCUGGCGCG